GGAUUAGGCAUGCAAGUCGAACGAGGAAGUGCCCCGUAAGGGGCGCAAGCCUAGUGGCGAAAGGGUGAGUAAUGCAUUGAUAACCUGCCUUUGAGAUGGGAAUAACUGCGUUUCGAGCAAUCGGAACUACCGAAAGGGCUGCUAAUACCCAAUAAUACUAUAGGUGCAAAAGCACUUGUGGUCAAAUGCUAGGAAUUCUGUUCCUUGUGCUUAAAGAGGGGUUAAUGUCCUAUCAGCUAGUUGGUGGGGUAAUGGCCUACCAAGGCAAAGACGGGUAGCCGGCUUGAGAGGGUGGUCGGCCACACUGGGACUGAGACACUGCCCAGACUCCUACGGGAGGCUGCAGUCGAGAAUCUUUCGCAAUGCCCGAAAGGGUGACGAAGCGACGCCGCGUGUGGGAAGAAGGCCUUCGGGUUGUAAACCACUGUCGGGAGUUAGGAAAUGCAGGUGCGUUAAUAGCGCACUUGCUUGACUAAGGCUCCAGAGGAAGCCACGGCUAACUCUGUGCCAGCAGCCGCGGUAAUACAGAGGCGGCAAGCGUUGUUCGGAAUUAUUGGGCGUAAAGAGCACGUAGGCGGCCUUGCAAGUCAGUUGUGAAAGCCUUCCGCUUAACGGAAGAACGGCAUCUGAUACUACAGGGCUUGAGUACGGGAGGGGAGAGUGGAACUUCUGGUGGAGCGGUGAAAUGCGUAGAUAUCAGAAGGAACGCCGGCGGCGAAAGCGACUCUCUGGUCCGAAACUGACGCUGAGUGUGCGAAAGCUAGGGGAGCAAACGGGAUUAGAUACCCCGGUAGUCCUAGCCGUAAACGAUGGGCACUAAGUAGAGGGGUUUU
rnacentral:rRNA from 3 species